GAUCAUGGCUCAGGAUGAACGCUAGCUACAGGCUUAACACAUGCAAGUCGAGGGGCAGCAUGAACUUAGCUUGCUAAGUUUGAUGGCGACCGGCGCACGGGUGAGUAACACGUAUCCAACCUUCCGUUUACUCAGGGAUAGCCUUUCGAAAGAAAGAUUAAUACCUGAUAGUAUGGUGAGAUUGCAUGAUAGCACCAUUAAAGAUUUAUUGGUAAACGAUGGGGAUGCGUUCCAUUAGGUAGUAGGCGGGGUAACGGCCCACCUAGCCGACGAUCAGUAGGGGUUCUGAGAGGAAGGUCCCCCACAUUGGAACUGAGACACGGUCCAAACUCCUACGGGAGGCAGCAGUGAGGAAUAUUGGUCAAUGGACGAGAGUCUGAACCAGCCAAGUAGCGUGAAGGAUGAAGGUCCUACGGAUUGUAAACUUCUUUUAUAAGGGAAUAAACCCUCCCACGUGUGGGAGCUUGUAUGUACCUUAUGAAUAAGCAUCGGCUAACUCCGUG
rnacentral:rRNA from 1 species